UACAGAGGUGGCAAGCGUUGUUCGGAAUUACUGGGCGUAAAGGGCGCGUAGGCGGUCUCGUAAGUCCUGUGUGAAAUCCCCCGGCUCAACUGGGGAACUGCACAGGAAACUGCGAGACUUGAGUUCGGGAGAGGGAAGCGGAAUUCCGGGUGUAGCGGUGAAAUGCGUAGAUAUCCGGAGGAACACCGGUGGCGAAGGCGGCUUCCUGGACCGACACUGACGCUGAGGCGCGAAAGCUAGGGGAGCAAACGGG
rnacentral:rRNA from 1 species